rnacentral:rRNA from 1 species
UACGGGGGGUGCAAGCGUUGUCCGGAUUUACUGGGCGUAAAGGGCGCGUAGGCGGUUGUAUCAGUCGGGCUUAUAAGUGCGGGGCUCAACCCCGUGAUGGGUUCGGGACGGUAUGACUGGGGCGCGGUCGAGGGAGACGGAAUGCCGGGUGUAGUGGUGAAAUGCGUAGAGAUCCGGCGGAACACCGGUGGUGAAGGCGGUCUCCUAGGCCGAGGGCCGACGCUGAGGCGCGAGAGCGUGGGGAGCAAACAGG